rnacentral:lncRNA from 1 species
CUGCAAUUGUGAUGCCACGGAAGCCCCCAUCAGAAUUCACCACUUGCACGGCCAGAGGGGGGCCUUCAUCAGGGAGCUGACCUGGGAAAAAGCCACCGCUGUGCGAUGAGAGGGGGAGCCAAGUGCUCUGCUGCUUUACUGGGUUGCUGGGUGUGCACCUGAUGUGCGGGUCCUUUGGUAAAGCCGCAUCUCAGCUGUGAAAGAACUGGACCCGCUGGAGCGCAAGAAAUCUGCCAUUCCUUGUUUCUUCUCCACGAAAGGUUGGCUCUUUGUGUGCGUGUCCCUGUGAGCUCUACUGAAACGCAGCAGCUCUGUUUGCUCAGGAACAUGCGAGUUCCCACCUCCAUCUCAAACAAAGGCAG